GACGAACGCUGGCGGCGUGCCUAAUACAUGCAAGUCGAACGAGUGGCGGCCGGGUGAGUAAUGUAUGGGGAUCUGCCCGAUGGAGGGGGAUAACUACUGGAAACGGUGGCUAAUACCGCAUACUAUCGGAUGACCCCAUAUGGGAUUAGCUAGUGGGUGGGGUAAAGGCUCACCUAGGCGACGAUCUCUAGCUGGUCUGUGAGGAUGAUCAGCCAAACGGGGACUGAGAAAAGCCCCGAAUUCCUACGGGAGGCAGCAGGGGGGAAUAUUGCACAAGGGGCGCAAGCCGGAUGCAGCCAUGCCGCGUGUAUGAAGAAGGCCUUAGGGUGGUAAAGUACGUUCAGCGGGGAGGCGUUACCCGCAGAAGAAGCACCGGCUAACUCCGUGCCAGCAGCCGCGGUAAUAC
rnacentral:rRNA from 1 species